CCUCUUCGAUCUGUUGCGGGCAGAUAAAGUGAAUGUGGGUAUCGAUGCCGCCAGCGGUAACGAUAAAGCCUUCGGCAGCAAUAAUUUCGGUACCGGGGCCGAUAACGAUGGUAACGCCGGGCUGGAUGUCAGGGUUGCCGGCUUUGCCGAUACCCGUGAUAUGGCCGUUUUUGAUGCCGAUAUCCGCUUUGACAAUACCGGUGACAGCAUCAAUGAUCAGUGCGUUGGUGAUGACGGUAUCGGCGCAGUCUGCCGUACAGCGCUGGCUUUGUCCCAUGCCGUCGCGAAUG
rnacentral:sRNA from 1 species